GACGAACGCUGGCGGCGUGCUUAACACAUGCAAGUCGAACGGAAAGGCCCUGCUUUUGUGGGGUGCUCGAGUGGCGAACGGGUGAGUAACACGUGAGUAACCUGCCCUUGACUUUGGGAUAACUUCAGGAAACUGGGGCUAAUACCGGAUAGGAUCUCCUGCUGCAUGGUGGGGGUUGGAAAGUUUCGGCGGUUGGGGAUGGACUCGCGGCUUAUCAGCUUGUUGGUGGGGUAGUGGCUUACCAAGGCUUUGACGGGUAGCCGGCAUGAGAGGGUGACCGGCGACAUGGGGACUGAGAUACGGCGCAGACGGCUACGGGAGGCAGUAGUGGGGAAUAUGGCACAAUGGGGGGAAGCCUGAUGCAGCAACGUCGCGUGCGGGAUGACGUCCUUCGGGUGGUAAACCGCUGUCGCAUGUGACGAAGCGGGAGUGACGGUAAUGGGUAAAGAAGCACCGGCUAACUACGUG
rnacentral:rRNA from 1 species